UUCUAGUAAAAUGGCGAAAAUCUCCUUUGCUUCAACCUUUCUCCUGUUGCCCCUUCUGAUCAUUCUACUUUCAACCAUUCAUAAACCUACAACAUAUGCCAAGUGUAUACCACCGCCUUGCCAAGGAAAACAAAGUUGGCCAGAGCUCAUUGGGAAAGACUCAAACACGGCGUACAAUUGUAUAAGGCGCGAGAACCCCCAAGUGAAUAAUAUCACGUUCUUGAUUUCUGAUGCUCUUCGUCCUAGGGCGGACAAUGGCAUGUGUUGCAACCAUGUGCUUUUGGUGAUAGGAAAUAUCCCCUCCGGUGGUGAUGGUGUCAUCAAGGUGCCACAUGUUGGAUAGUACCAUUCUCUACUUUUUUUAUUGUAAUUUGAUCAAUAAAGUCUUUGGUGUGUAUGCACUUUUCUCCA